CCUACGGGAGGCAGCAGUGAGGAAUAUUGGUCAAUGGACGAGAGUCUGAACCAGCCAAGUAGCGUGAAGGAUGACUGCCCUAUGGGUUGUAAACUUCUUUUAUAAAGGAAUAAAACGAGGCACGUGUGCCUUUUUGCAUGUACUUUAUGAAUAAGGAUCGGCUAACUCCGUGCCAGCAGCCGCGGUAAUACGGAGGAUCCGAGCGUUAUCCGGAUUUAUUGGGUUUAAAGGGAGCGUAGAUGGGUUGUUAAGUCAGUUGUGAAAGUUUGCGGCUCAACCGUAAAAUUGCAAUUGAUACUGGCAGUCGUGAGUACAGUGGAGGUAGGCGGAAUGCGUGGUGUAGCGGUGAAAUGCUUAGAUAUCACGAAGAACCCCGAUUGCGAAGGCAGCUUACUAAACUGUGACUGACAUUGAUGCUCGAAAGUGUGGGUAUCAAACAGGAUUAGAUACCCUUGUAGUC
rnacentral:rRNA from 1 species